ACCGAAUACGACCACUUCAGGCAUCUGAUGGUGGUGGAAAGUUCCGGCGGUGAUGGAUGAGCUCGCGGCCUAUCAGCUUGUUGGUGGGGUAAUGGCCUACCAAGGCUUCGACGGGUAGCCGGCCUGAGAGGGUGACCGGCCACACUGGGACUGAGACACGGCCCAGACUCCUACGGGAGGCAGCAGUGGGGAAUAUUGGACAAUGGGCGAAAGCCUGAUCCAGCAACGCCGCGUGAGGGAUGACGGCCUUCGGGUUGUAAACCUCUUUCAGCAGGGACGAAGCGCAAGUGACGGUACCUGCAGAAGAAGCACCGGCCAACUACGUGCCAGCAGCCGCGGUAAUACGUAGGGUGCGAGCGUUGUCCGGAAUUAUUGGGCGUAAAGGGCUCGUAGGCGGUUUGUCGCGUCGGGAGUGAAAACUCAGGGCUUAACCCUGAGCCUGCUUCCGAUACGGGCAGACUAGAGGUAUGCAGGGGAGAAUGGAAUUCCUGGUGUAGCGGUGAAAUGCGCAGAUAUCAGGAGGAACACCGGUGGCGAAGGCGGUUCUCUGGGCAUUACCUGACGCUGAGGAGCGAAAGUGUGGGGAGCGA
rnacentral:rRNA from 1 species